rnacentral:snRNA from 1 species
GGAUACGAGGGUGAUCUGGCUGUGACAUAUCACCCCAUUGAUCUCCAGGGUUGACACCAGGUGGGUGUCCCCUUCCUCUCUCACCACUCCAUGUGCGCCCCUCCUGAAGCUGUGUGCUUGGUUGAAAGGGACAAUCUUCCCCAAACAGAGAUGGACCAGACUUCAGUGAAGGGUAUCAGAGUAGCUACGCUCUCCUGCUAGAACCUCCAAACAAGCUCUCAAGGAAUAGAGAAGGAGUUCCAAAAACCCACCCUAGGCUCCAUUUUAAGCUAAAGGGUCUUUUG